rnacentral:tRNA from 1 species
GGAGGAGUGGCCGAGCGGUUUAAGGCACUGGUCUUGAAAACCAGCAACCCCUCACCGGGUUCGUGGGUUCGAAUCCCACCUCCUCCG